rnacentral:lncRNA from 1 species
GCAUUAGAUACGUAAAAGGAGCAUUGACAAUGUGUCGCAAAGUUUUUGAUUUGUAACGCUGAAGUAUCUCAAUAUUUGAGUUGGUAGCAGUCCCAUAGAGCUGUAUAGCGUAGGUCCAAACAGGCUUCAGUAUGGAUUUUUAGAGGUGAAUUUUGUUUUCCAAAGUGGUUUCUGAUUUUCGACCAGGACAUUUUUAGUGUUUUAGUUUUAGAGUUGUUGACAUUUUCCUUAAAUGUGGUUUUUCCAUGUUAAUCUGCGGUCGAGAUGCAAGCCAAGAUACUUCACACAGGUACUUUGUGGAAUUGGUGAGCCGUUAA